UCCCUCAUUUGUUCACACCGCCAUCCCAAAAAUGAAGAAUUCAUCCCAGCCGCCCUAUUCUUCUCAUCUUCGAUCCACGAUUCAAGCUUCAUUCCGUUUUCUUAAUCUUAUCUCAAACCCCAAUUUCGUUGGCUGGUUAUUCGAGAUGGGUUUUUCACUUCAUCUUCUUUAGGGUUUGUUCACUGUUUGUUCUUGAUUAAUCGACGAAUCUUUUAACCGAUCGAUGGAGAAGAUGAUUACAGAUUAGUAGGAUGAUAAGACGAUCGGAACAUGAUGAUCGGAUCGUCGUCCAGUGAUGGGAAGAUGGUGAUAAAACUCAAGAUUUCGAAACUUUCAGAUGAAGAUGUAACGGAAGAUGAAGAAUCUCCGGUGAUCGAAAAAAGGGUUUUUGUGGAAUGCAAAAAGGAGUUUAGCUCAGGUAAAGCAUUGGGUGGUCACAUAUCAGGAUCUGGUUUCCACAGACUUUGUGGGAGACAACAGAAAUAAAGAAAUACAAUGAGGCCAUCCGCUAAAAUCUUUUGAAACAAUGGCGUAUAUCAUAAAGAAUCCACCCAAGAAUUUUAAGGCCUUUGUAGUUGGGCAUUUUUGUGAUCGUGCGGUUGACAUUCUAAGGGCUACUAAUGCUUAUAGGGAGGGCCUGCAAGUCCCCGGUGAUGUGGAUAACAGGGAGAGCUUCAAGAUAUGGGAUGACGUUGAUUCAAGCAUGAUCCAUCCUUUUGUUGCUUUUAUGUGUAUCAGAGCAACUGGAGCUUCCAAUUUCACUCCUAUCGGACCAUUCGGGGGUUUUGGAUCAUUUUUAGAGCGUUCAACUGGGUCUGCUUCAACAUUACAACGCCGAUCUCUCCGGCUCCUUCUACACUUGGAUAUGCAACUGAUGAAAUGGGAUUAAGACAAGCUUUCCAGGAACAGAACGAAGUGAUUAAAGCCAAAAUUAUUACUGAUCGAGAUUCUUUGGUAGGUCUCGAGGAUUUAGUUUUAUUAGUUAUACAUCAGCUAAUACAGCUAAUAGCGCUCUCGAGGACAUGGAUGACUUGAUUAGAUUUAUUUGUUUUUCUGAAUUGGUUUGAAGAAGUAUUAUCAAACAGUGGCACCUUCGAUAUUAUCGUAAGCUUUACCAUCAGAAACUGCUCGAGUUCUCGGUAUUCAGUCACAUAGUGUUCAGGUCGAGUUCUCAGUAUUCAGUCGCCAUACCGUCUGCCUCCAACGCCAUCGUCAGUCGGAUUCUCACAUUUGUCGUACUUUUCAAUUUCUAUAUAUUGAUUAGUUUGAAAACCUAAUUUUCACACACACUUCGAGUUCUUUGAGGUAUGAGAUUUCUCUCCAAAUUUUAUUUUUAUGUUUGUUUAUUUUUCUUUUAGUUCUAUGUUCUUCAGGCGGUGGCGUUAGGUUUUGUUGGUUUUAACGGGAAGACUAGAGAGGCUGCAAGCAUUUGGUGGAUAACAAGUAAGCGAUUAUCGUUACCGGUAAUAAUAAUAUUUUGUUAUCUGGUUUGGUUACACCCAUUCAUGCUUUUUAUAUAUACAAAAGCUUGCUUUGCUAAUUUUCUUUUAUUUGUUUUUAGGAUUCGAUAUAUUUUAUUCUAUUUAUAACUUUUUGUGAAGAAAGGAAGUUCCACGCGGGCCUAAAGAAAGUCCUAAAGGACCGUGAUUGUUCGGUAGGCUAAUGCCGCACUUUGAUCCUCCACGUCAUGAUAGGGCUAACACGAUUUGAAGGGCUUUGCAUCUUGGAGUGAAUCUUAAAAAGGCGCUUUUGGUUUGAAAGAUUUUGUUUCCACUCUUUUGAGGAUAAACACAUAUCUUUGAAAAUAUAUAUGAUUACUUCGUUUGCUAGAAAAAUGACAAGGAUAAGUGGAUAACAAACAUAAUGACAAUAUUCACAAACAUGUGUUUUGGUUUUAAUUUGCUAAAAAAGCUGUUUCGGUUUCAGUUUUGAAGGGUGAAUUUUUACAACACCUAUCUCAUUCCUGCCUCUAAUCUAAUACCUUUAUGAUAUACACAUUUACUUUUUAACAUUCAAAAAACGCUUAAUCAUAAUUUGAAGGAAGAAAGCAACAUGUAUGUUUAAAUCUCGAUCUGUAAAGGUGUAAACUACAGGUCUUUGAUUCUUUUAUCAUUCAUAUACAUUCAUACUUUAGGGUUCACAUUAUGUUUUCGGUGCAGGAACCAAAGGGCGGUGGAAGACUGGAAAAUGGUUUGGCAGGGCUAGGGCGACGAACGUAUUGGAGGUCGUUGGGACCAAACAUGGAGGAUUAUAGCAGGUCGAUGGCUAGGAUGAUUGCAGCCGGGUCAGGUCAGUUGAUUAAAGGAAUGUUGUGGUGUGGGGAUGUGAUAGUUGAUAGGGUGAAGUGGGGGAAUGAGUCUUUUGAAGAAGAGGAUGAAACCAUGACAUAUGUCGAAAGUUAGUCCUGAAGCUUUGAGAAUGAAAAGAUUGGUGGCUGAUAUUGCAGCGAUGACAUGAACAGUUUUUUGUGAGUUUUCAUUUUUCAUCUCAUAUACAAACUAUUUACAUUGUUUACCAUUGUAUCAUGCACGUGAUGGUUGGAAUUUCACUUCUGAUGAUGAUGUCAUCGUUCGGACCAAAGCACUUGGUGCAAUCUUCAGUGAGUAGCCAUUCGAAAGCGCAUCUCUGAUUAGGCAUAAAGAAGGUCUCGCCUGCUUAUUACGCACCGCUACGGAAACCCUAACUUUCAUUUCCUUCAUCAUUGUAUUGUUAACACUCGCAAAUCCCUAGGCUUUCUUCUUCUCUAACGACGCAAUAAUUGAGGUGGUUUUGGGUUAGAUUUGGUAGGUGGUUUCAGGUCAGUUUCGGUAAUUGAUUACAGUUAAAAUCGACAACAGGGUGCCAUCCCCUCAAUCUUCCUCACCAUGGAUAGAUGUUUAUUAAUGCUUUCUUCUUAGCAACAUGGGGUGAUUGGCAUAAAUUGUCCCGUUCCUUCAAAAUUCUGGAAAUAUCCUCUGGGAAUAAGGGGUAACUGCAACAAACGUUGAAGCAACAUCUAAGGUUGAGCAGCUGGCCUGAUAUGAUAAAUGUGUCAUCGGUUUGAAGGUUUGACCAUUGUUAGCACAAAAUGUUGAAUAUUGCCGUUGUUGUUCGCGAUGUAUUCUAUAACCAACCAGCUAAAAGGAGACAUUAUAGUCCAGUGGGCUGCACUGAAUGAUGCCGGACAGUAGGAGCUUCAGUAGCUUCUGUUGCUGGUUGGGCAACCAGUGAUGUCGAGCACAAGGGAUCAGUGGAUCUAGGCGUUGGAUGGGGCUGGGGUACUUACUAUUCGGAGUAUAAAAAAAGAGCUACAAAGGAAGCGGUACGGGGUCUCGGCUAAUGUGUUUGAGCGGAACAGUUGGAUACCGAAAAAGGUGGGUAUCGUGGCUUGGAGAACGGGUUUAAAAAGCUUGCCGACUCAGUGUCCUUUAUUGGUUAGAAGCAUUAAUGUGCCGUCCAAUCUAUUUCCGAUUGUGGCGAACAUCUCUGUGUCAAGCGAGUUUGCUCAGGAUUUGGCAAUGGGUCACCCGUUGGUGUAAGUUGUAGCCUUUCUUUUGCUUUUGACAAGCAAGAUGUGCUAAGGUUUAACACGUAUUGGGCUGGAUCAACGAGGUUUAAGAAGACUGGAUUAGCGAGCUGGUUUUAUGAUAUCUUAUUUUCUUGAUCUGUUGCAGAGAUAUUGUAUAAAAUUUAUUGACGACUACAAAUCCUAAUCACCAAAUAACUUGGGCUGCAUAACUGUAAUAAGCAACUUAGUAGAAAUAUGUUACAUAACAAUAUGACAUCUUAUUUUCUUCAACUUACUGUACUUUUUUUAGUAGUUAAUUACAUUUGUUUUGA